UCUUCGGAGGCACCUGCACAGGUGCUGCAUGGCUGCCGUCAGCUCGUGUCGUGAGAUGUUGGUUAAGUCCCGCAACGAGCGCAACCCCUUAUCCCUAGUUGCCAUCAGGUAAAGCUGGGAACUCUGGGGAGGACUGCCGGUGAUAAACCGGAGGAAGGCGGGGAUGACGUCAAGUCCCCAUGGCCCUUACAUCCCGGGCUACACACGUGCUACAAUGGCAGGUACAGAGGGCUGCGAAGCCGCGAGGUGGAGCGAAUCCCAGAAAACCUGUCUCAGUCCGGAUUGAAGUCUGCAACUCGACUUCAUGAAGGCGGAAUCGCUAGUAACCGCGAAUCAGCAGGUCGCGGUGAAUACGUUCCCGGGCCUU
rnacentral:rRNA from 1 species